rnacentral:rRNA from 1 species
UACGUAGGGUGCGAGCGUUGUCCGGAAUUAUUGGGCGUAAAGAGCUCGUAGGCGGUGUGUCGCGUCGGCCGUGAAAACCUGCAGCUUAACUGUGGGCUUGCGGUCGAUACGGGCAUCACUGGAGUUCGGCAGGGGAGACUGGAAUUCCUGGUGUAGCGGUGAAAUGCGCAGAUAUCAGGAAGAACACCAAUGGCGAAGGCAGCUCUCUGGGACGGUACUGACGCUGAGACGCGAAAGCGUGGGGAGCGAACAGG